rnacentral:rRNA from 1 species
UGGGGAAUAUUGCACAAUGGGCGCAAGCCUGAUGCAGCCAUGCCGCGUGUGUGAAGAAGGCCUUCGGGUUGUAAAGCACUUUCAGCGGGGAGGAAGGCGUUAAGGUUAAUAACCUUGGCGAUUGACGUUACCCGCAGAAGAAGCACCGGCUAACUCCGUGCCAGCAGCCGCGGUAAUACGGAGGGUGCAAGCGUUAAUCGGAAUUACUGGGCGUAAAGCGCACGCAGGCGGUCUGUCAAGUCGGAUGUGAAAUCCCCGGGCUCAACCUGGGAACUGCAUUCGAAACUGGCAGGCUAGAGUCUUGUAGAGGGGGGUAGAAUUCCAGGUGUAGCGGUGAAAAUGCGUAGAGAUCUGGAGGAAUACCGGUGGCGAAGGCGGCCCCCUGGACAAAGACUGACGCUCAGGUGCGAAAGCGUGGGGAGCAAACAGG